GAUGAACGCUGGCGGCGUGCCUAAUACAUGCAAGUCGAGCGAACAGACGAGGAGCUUGCUCCUCUGACGUUAGCGGCGGACGGGUGAGUAACACGUGGAUAACCUACCUAUAAGACUGGGAUAACUUCGGGAAACCGGAGCUAAUACCGGAUAAUAUAUUGAACCGCAUGGUUCAAUAGUGAAAGACGGUUUUGCUGUCACUUCUAGAUGGAUCCGCGCCGCAUUAGCUAGUUGGUAAGGUAACGGCUUACCAAGGCAACGAUGCGUAGCCGACCUGAGAGGGUGAUCGGCGACACUGGAGCUGGGACACGGUCCUGACUCCUACGGGAGGCAGCGGUAGGGAAUCUUCCGCAAUGGGCGAAAGCCUGACGGAGCAGCGCCGCGUGAGUGAUGAAGGUCUUCGGAUCGUAAAACUCUGUUAUUAGGGAAGAACAAAUGUGUAAGUAACUAUGCACGUCUUGACGGUACCUAAUCAGAAAGCCACGGCUAACUACGUG
rnacentral:rRNA from 1 species